rnacentral:rRNA from 1 species
CUACGGGGCGCAGCAGUGGGGAAUAUUGGGCAAUGGGCGAAAGCCUGACCCAGCAACGCCGCGUGAAGGAAGAAGGUUUUCGGAUCGUAAACUUCUAUCCCGGGUGAAGAUAAUGACGGUAGCCCGGAAGGAAGCCCCGGCUAACUACGUGCCAGCAGCCGCGGUAAUACGUAGGGGGCAAGCGUUGUCCGGAAUGAUUGGGCGUAAAGGGCGCGUAGGCGGCCUUGUAAGUCCGGUGUGAAAUUCCUGCUUUUAAGGUAGGAAUUGCAUUGGAAACUGCAGGGCUUGAGUGCAGGAGAGGUAAGCGGAAUUCCCGGUGUAGCGGUGAAAUGCGUAGAGAUCGGGAGGAACACCAGUGGCGAAGGCGGCUUACUGGACUGUAACUGACGCUGAGGCGCGAAAGUGUGGGGAGCAAACAGGAUUAGAUACCCCCGUAGUC